rnacentral:ncRNA from 1 species
ACGGGAACAGCACGACCGCAAAUCCGACUCGUCGGCCGAUUGGUUGACUUGGGAUUGCGGUAGUGC